rnacentral:rRNA from 1 species
ACACAUGCAAGUCGAACGGAAAGGCCCUGCUUUUGUGGGGUGCUCGAGUGGCGAACGGGUGAGUAACACGUGAGUAACCUGCCCUUGACUUUGGGAUAACUUCAGGAAACUGGGGCUAAUACCGGAUAGGAGCUCCUGCUGCAUGGUGGGGGUUGGAAAGUUUCGGCGGUUGGGGAUGGACUCGCGGCUUAUCAGCUUGUUGGUGGGGUAGUGGCUUACCAAGGCUUUGACGGGUAGCCGGCCUGAGAGGGUGACCGGCCACAUUGGGACUGAGAUACGGCCCAGACUCCUACGGGAGGCAGCAGUGGGGAAUAUUGCACAAUGGGCGGAAGCCUGAUGCAGCAACGCCGCGUGCGGGAUGACGGCCUUCGGGUUGUAAACCGCUUUCGCCUGUGACGAAGCGUGAGUGACGGUAAUGGGUAAAGAAGCACCGGCUAACUACGUGCCAGCAGCCGCGGUGAUACGUAGGGUGCGAGCGUUGUCCGGAUUUAUUGGGCGUAAAGGGCUCGUAGGUGGUUGAUCGCGUCGGAAGUGUAAUCUUGGGGCUUAACCCUGAGCGUGCUUUCGAUACGGGUUGACUUGAGGAAGGUAGGGGAGAAUGGAAUUCCUGGUGGAGCGGUGGAAUGCGCAGAUAUCAGGAGGAACACCAGUGGCGAAGGCGGUUCUCUGGGCCUUUCCUGACGCUGAGGAGCGAAAGCGUGGGGAGCGAACAGGCUUAGAUACCCUGGUAGUCCACGCUGUAAACGGUGGGUACUAGGUGUGGGGUCCAUUCCACGGGUUCCGUGCCGUAGCUAACGCUUUAAGUACCCCGCCUGGGGAGUACGGCCGCAAGGCUAAAACUCAAAGGAAUUGACGGGGCCCCGCACAAGCGGCGGAGCAUGCGGAUUAAUUCGAUGCAACGCGUAGAACCUUACCUGGGUUUGACAUGGAUCGGGAGUGCUCAGAGAUGGGUGUGCCUCUUUUGGGGUCGGUUCACAGGUGGUGCAUGGCUGUCGUCAGCUCGUGUCGUGAGAUGUUGGGUUAAGUCCCGCAACGAGCGCAACCCUUGUUCACUGUUGCCAGCACGUUAUGGUGGGGACUCAGUGGAGACCGCCGGGGUCAACUCGGAGGAAGGUGGGGAUGACGUCAAGUCAUCAUGCCCCUUAUGUCCAGGGCUUCACGCAUGCUACAAUGGCUGGUACAGAGAGUGGCGAGCCUGUGAGGGUGAGCGAAUCUCGGAAAGCCGGUCUCAGUUCGGAUUGGGGUCUGCAACUCGACCUCAUGAAGUCGGAGUCGCUAGUAAUCGCAGAUCAGCAACGCUGCGGUGAAUACGUUCCCGGGGCUUGUACACACCGCCCGUCAAGUCAUGAAAGUUGGUAACACCCGAAGCCGGUGGCCUAACCGUUGUGGGGGAGCCGUCGAAGGUGG